rnacentral:rRNA from 1 species
UACCCGCUGAACUUAAGCAUAUUAUUAAGCGGUGGAAAAGAAAAUAACAAUGAUUCCCUUAGUAACGGCGAGUGAACAGGGAAGAGCUCAAAGUGGAAAUCGAAGACUCUUGACUGAGUCUUCGAGUUGUAGCCUCGAGAGGCGUUACCAGUGGAGGCGCAGGGAGAAGUUUCUUGGAAAAGAACAUCAGAGAGGGUGAGAGUCCCGUAUUUGCCCUGUGUCCUUUUGUUCCACGGACGGUGCGCCUUUAUAGAGUCGCGUUCAUCGGGAUUUGAGCGCAAAAUGUGUGGUAAGUUUCACAUAAAGCUAAAUAUUGGCGCGAGACCGAUAGCAAACAAGUACCGUGAGGGAAAGAUGAAAAGUUCUUUGGAAAGAGAGUUAAAAGUGCCUGAAAUUGCUGAAAAGGAAGCGAUUGGAACCUAUUAGAAUUCAAUACGUGAAUCUCUUAUAACAUCGAGCCCCGAUCUCCCCCACUCUGUAACAGGAGGGGGGAGUUUGGGUAAGGCAAUAGGUGUAAGGGACGAGAAUCGUAUUGAAGAGGUCAGCAUCAGUUACAAAGGAAAGAUUAGGGAUGCAGAAGGUAGGUCCCCCGUGGGCUGCUUUAUAGAUGCAUCAUCAUCUACUUUUCUUUGUGACUGACGUGUACUUUUUGCAUGGAAUUUUCGGGCUACACUCUUUUUAGAGUACUCGAGUUCUGUGAUGCUGGCUGAAACGGUUUCAACCGACCCGUCUUGAAACACGGACCAAGGAGUCUAACAUAUGUGCGAGUAUGCGGGUGGCAAACCUGUAUGCGCAAUGAAAGUAAGAGUAGGGAAAAGGGUAACAUCUUUAACAAUGUUAUGCUUUGCACCUACGACCGACCACGAUCUCAGAGAGAGGUUUGAGUUGGAGCAUAUCUGUUAGGACCCGAAAGAU